rnacentral:rRNA from 1 species
CUACGGGAGGCAGCAGUGAGGAAUAUUGGGCAAUGGCCGAAAGGCUGACCCAGCAACGCCGCGUGGAGGACGAAGACCUUCGGGUUGUAAACUCCUUUUCUGGGGGAAGAGAAAGGACGGUACCCCAGGAAUAAGUCACGGCUAACUACGUGCCAGCAGCCGCGGUAAAACGUAGGUGGCAAGCGUUAUCCGGAUUUACUGGGCGUAAAGCGCGCGCAGGUGGUAGCGUAAGUUGGAUGUGAAAUCUCCUGGCUCAACUGGGAGGGGUCGUUCAAGACUGCGUUGCUUGAGGUCGAGAGAGGAGUGCGGAAUUCCCGGUGUAGUGGUGGAAUGCGUAGAUAUCGGGAGGAACACCAGUGGCGAAAGCGGCACUCUGGCUCGCACCUGACACUGACGCUGAGGCGCGAAAGCCAGGGGAGCAAACGGGAUUAGAUACCCUGGUAGUCC